AUACAGAGGGUGCAAGCGUUAAUCGGAUUUACUGGGCGUAAAGCGCGCGUAGGUGGCUAAUUAAGUCAAAUGUGAAAUCCCCGAGCUUAACUUGGGAAUUGCAUUCGAUACUGGUUAGCUAGAGUAUGGGAGAGGAUGGUAGAAUUCCAGGUGUAGCGGUGAAAUGCGUAGAGAUCUGGAGGAAUACCGAUGGCGAAGGCAGCCAUCUUGCCUAAACCGGACACUGAGGUGCGAAAGCAUGGGGAGCAAACAGGAUUAGAAGCCCUGGUGGUCCAUGCCGUAAACGAUGUCUACUAGCCGUUGGGGCCCUUGAGGCUUUAGUGGCGCAGCUAACGCGAUAAGUAGACCGCCUGGGGAGUACGGUCGCAAGACUAAAACUCAAAUGAAUUGACGGGG
rnacentral:rRNA from 1 species